rnacentral:rRNA from 1 species
CCUACGGGUGGCAGCAGUGAGGAAUAUUGGUCAAUGGACGAGAGUCUGAACCAGCCAAGUAGCGUGAAGGAUGACUGCCCUAUGGGUUGUAAACUUCUUUUAUAAAGGAAUAAAACGAGGCACGUGUGCCUUUUUGCAUGUACUUUAUGAAUAAGGAUCGGCUAACUCCGUGCCAGCAGCCGCGGUAAUACGGAGGAUCCGAGCGUUAUCCGGAUUUAUUGGGUUUAAAGGGAGCGUAGAUGGGUUGUUAAGUCAGUUGUGAAAGUUUGCGGCUCAACCGUAAAAUUGCAAUUGAUACUGGCAGUCGUGAGUACAGUUGAGGUAGGCGGAAUUCGUGGUGUAGCGGUGAAAUGCUGAGAUAUCACGAAGAACCCCGAUUGCGAAGGCAGCUUACUAAACUGUGACUGACAUUGAUGCUCGAAAGUGUGGGUAUCAAACAGGAUUAGAUACCCCUGUAGUC